CGCGAAAGAUGGCAGACUAAGAACGCCCACGUCCUGUGGCAACGUCUGCAUAACCCGCAUCCUCCAAAAAGCUGU
rnacentral:sRNA from 1 species